rnacentral:rRNA from 1 species
UACGUAGGGGGCAAGCGUUGUCCGGAUUUAUUGGGCGUAAAGAGCGUGUAGGCGGCCAGGUAGGUCCGUUGUGAAAACUCGAGGCUCAACCUCGAGAGGUCGGUGGAAACCGUCUGGAUAGAGUCCGGAAGAGGAGAGUGGAAUUCCCGGUGUAGCGGUGAAAUGCGCAGAUAUCGGGAAGAACACCCGUGGCGAAGGCGGCUCUCUGGGACGGUACUGACGCUGAGACGCGAAAGCGUGGGGAGCGAACAGG